rnacentral:rRNA from 1 species
UUGACCUCGGAUCAGGUAGGGAUACCCGCUGAACUUAAGCAUAUCAAUAAGCGGAGGAAAAGAAACCAACAGGGAUUGCCUCAGUAACGGCGAGUGAAGCGGCAACAGCUCAAAUUUGAAAUCUGGCUCUUUCAGGGUCCGAGUUGUAAUUUGUAGAAGAUGCUUUGGGUGUGGCUCCGGUCUAAGUUCCUUGGAACAGGACGUCAUAGAGGGUGAGAAUCCCGUAUGUGACUGGCUGCCUUCGCCUAUGUAAAGCUCUUUCGACGAGUCGAGUUGUUUGGGAAUGCAGCUCAAAUGGUGGUAAUUUCAUCUAAAGCUAAUAUUGGCCAGAGACCGAUAGCGCACAAGUAGAGUGAUCG